rnacentral:rRNA from 1 species
UACGGGGGGGGGCAAGCGUUGUUCGGAAUUACUGGGCGUAAAGGGCUCGUAGGCGGCCAACUAAGUCCGACGUGAAAUCCCCAGGCUUAACCUGGGAACUGCGUCGGAUACUGGAUGGCUUGAAUUCGGGAGAGGGAUGCAGAAUUCCAGGUGUAGCGGUGAAAUGCGUAGAUAUCUGGAGGAACACCGGUGGCGAAGGCGGCCCACUGGCUCGACACUGACGCUGAGGUGCGAAAGCGUGGGGAGCAAACAGG